rnacentral:rRNA from 1 species
UACAGAGGUCCCAAGCGUUGUUCGGAUUCAUUGGGCGUAAAGGGUGCGUAGGUGGCGCCGUAAGUGGGGUGUGAAAUUUCGGAGCUUAACUCCGAAACUGCAUUCGAUACUGCGGUGCUUGAGGACUGGAGAGGAGACUGGAAUUCAUGGUGUAGCAGUGAAAUGCGUAGAGAUCAUGAGGAAGACCAGUGGCGAAGGCGGGUCUCUGGACAGUUCCUGACACUGAGGCACGAAGGCCAGGGGAGCAAACGGGG